rnacentral:lncRNA from 1 species
GUUUGACAAGCUCUGUCCUGGAGGCCGUCCCUUUCUCUUUGGUCCCAUCUGCUCAUGGGGCAACCUGGACACAACUUUUUUGCCAUCUGAGAACAGCAGCUUGGCCUGCUCCAGGCAGCUCCGACACGUCUCCUGGAUGAGCUGCUCUGGGUCCACCUCCUCCCCAACGUUGUCACGCACGUUGAGUGCUGCCUUCUGGAAAAACUUCAUGUACUUAUUGAAGACGCCCCGGAUCUCCUCGUUGAUGCUGGGCUGCAGCACGGCUCGCAACAAGUCCAUGGACACGACCGGGUCAGUGAAGCUGGUGGUCAUCUGGGAGCGCCGGCCGCGCCGCUGCACCUGCCGAUGCUUGAUCAUGAUGUUCCAGGGGCUCGUGCCGCUCGGCUGCUCCUCGCCGCCGCCCGGGCCCUCCUCGCCCGGCGGCCCCGACUGCUGCUCCGCGUCACGGGCGGCGCCCAUCGCGCCGCGCUCCCGGCCCGCGGCGCCGCUUCCGGAAGCGCCGGGCUCACUACGUCAUCGGAACGCGACCCGCGGCGCUCGCCGGAAGUGGCAGCGGCUUCCGGGACGGGCUGCGGCCCUGAACGGCUUCCGGCGGGUGUGUCCGGCGGGGCGAUCCCUGCCCGCUUCCUGCCCUGCCUGGCCGGGCGGCACCGCCGCCGCUUCCUGCAGGUCUCCCCCUCACCGCGUGCUCCCCGCGGCCGAGCGCUGUGUGCCGCUCGGUCUCAGCUCGGCGGCGCUCUGACAUCUCAUUGUUUUCCCUUCUGGAAGUACCGAAACCGCGGUUCCUCACCCCGUGCUCCCACCCGAAGCGUGGCAGAGGCGCAGUGAUUUCCCCGCGCCUUACCGGGCCCCAGCAGCGAUGCACAGCAGUGGAGAUUCUUCUGUUGGAAUGACAGUUGUAGGGUUCUUUGGUAGGGAAAUCUGCUGUGUUGGUACAUGGAUGCUUCCAAGACAGUUAUAAAAUAAAACGAAGCAAACUGGAAUUCGGAAGGCUGGGAAGCAUCAGGGGUCUGCGAGAGUCUUCCAUUGCAAAAACCCGGGGCAGUGACGCUCUCAGCAGCACACAAACAGCAGUGCGGCACUGCCCUGCUGAGCUCCUGCGGCGCAGCUGGUGCUGCUGGGUCUCAGACCGCCCUCUGUGUGCUGCUCCAUCGCUGUGCUGCAGCGCCAGGGGCACGGAGUUGCUUUCUGUUUGCUGCUCCUGCACUGUAGUAGAACCCGCAGCCACGUGUGGAGGUGCAAACUGGGGGCUCAAAUCUGCGCAGGGAGGACCUGUGGAAUUCAGCUUACCAAAAUGCUUAUUGCUGUACACAGGCGUGCUUGUAAAACAUUUGGCUUCCUAAUUCUCUAAACUGUGACUGACAUUUGGAUCCACAGCAGUGUAAGUGUGCUGCGGUGACAGUGCUGUUCCAAAGGAGCCCGGGGUCGCGGUGGAGCAGUGUGGCAGUGCCCUUGGAGCUGCAUGGCGGCACCCCUGGGAGCUCCCAAUGGCUCUGGGAGCUGUGCUGUGCUGCCUCUUGGGCCGUGCCCUGAGUCACUGCCACGCGCACCGGCUGAAUUCGCCCCGUGCCUUCGUCAUUUUUGUGGUAGAAAGGAAGUAGAUAGUAAUCUGUGGCUAAAGUAAUGGAGAUAAUUGCACAGUUAUCAUCACCAGUGCCAGCAACACCUCUCCUGUGGGGUGUUUAGAGGACAACAUCAGUGCCACCUGCAGCAAGUGCACCGCUGGGCACCAACCGGUGUCUGCUCUUGCGCUGGGCAGAGACCCCCGAGUGGAGGUAUCCAACACUGUGUGGAGCUGCCCCGCAUGCUGGGGCUUGGAGGGCUCUGGACAGCACAGCGGGUGGCAGGGAACCAUGGCCAGGGGGGUCCUGGGAGAGCUCUGCUCAGCAUGGUCACAGCAGUGACAUCACUGUGCUGAGAUGUGGGGCACAGGGACUUCAGCGGAUAGGGGCGGUUCACAGGGAAAUAGCUCCUGAAUUGAGUCAUGGCCACGAGGACUGGAAGAAACCUGUACUUCGAGCUCACUUCUUUCAGUAAGCCUUCUUCCCACGCAGGUUUGGUGGCAUGCAGGCCCUGCACCUUCCCACUGCCGAGCACGCGGCCCCAGUGCUGCCUAUGUGUGGCCUUUGCCACCAUUCGGAUGGAGCUUUCUGGAGCAGGAGCUUUGCCUUCUGAGUUUUCACGCAGAGUGACAUGCACAUGCUUACAGUGGUAGAGAUGCUCUUUAUGCCCUGGUGCAGAGCAAAGAGACAUAAACACGGUGGCACACUGAAUUCUUUGUUCACUCUCAAUGCAAGCCCAGGGCAGGGGCUGGCAGCACGGAGCUGAGCUGCAGUGCCCGCCUUGGGCAGCUCUCCUCCAUUCAGUGCUGCGGCACUCCAUGUUCUGCCUGCCAGGAGACAUUUAUUCCUGCUGGUUUUAAAGCACGACGAGUCCAACAUUGACAUUCAGCCCUGCACAGGUGGAGCUGAGCUCCUCCGGGGCAAUGGAGGGGGGGGGGAUCUCGCUCUGCAGCUCCUUCACAAGCUCCUGGAAAUGGGAAAGCGCCCCGGGGCUGAAUGAAGCUCUUUGACGUCACGAGUGCCCAUUAAGGGUUUAU